AUUUUUUUGCUAAAAAUGGCAGCAAAGAUUAUUAAUUUAAAAUUGGUAAUGUAGUUUUCAUCUUGUUUCAUCUCCUUCCUUCAUCCCCAGGUAGAAUACAUCUCUUGCCUUGUGAAAUUUUCUCUCUCCCUGGUGAGAAACAACAGCCUCACUCCUUUCAUAUUUGCAUUUGUGCUUGAGAAGAAUUAUGAUGUCACCUACUGUUUGUACAUGUGGGUAAAGUCCAGUUGUAGCUGCAGCCACAGCUUUCCAGAAUAGCUGUUCAUUGAGGUAUAAGAAAUGCAAGGUGGACAACUAAUUAUGCUUACACAUGGAUGGAAACAAUGGUGAUCACUUGCUGCAGAAGAAAUGAUCAUGCUGCAGAAAAAUGUGAAAAACCAACAGAUGAAGAAAUAAAGCAAAAUCCCUAACUAUCCA
rnacentral:lncRNA from 1 species